rnacentral:rRNA from 1 species
UUAGAGUUUGAUCCUGGCUCAGGAUGAACGCUAGCGGCAGGCUUAACACAUGCAAGUCGAGGGGUAACAGGGAUUGCUUGCAAUCCGCUGACGACCGGCGCACGGGUGCGUAACGCGUAUGCAACCUACCUUCUACAGGGGGAUAGUCAAUAGAAAUGUUGAAUAAUACCCCAUACGAUCUUUGAAUAGCAUUAUUUAAAGAAGAAAGCUCCGGCGGUAGAAGAUGGGCAUGCGUCCUAUUAGUUAGUUGGUAAGGUAACGGCUUACCAAGACUUCGAUAGGUAGGGGUCCUGAGAGGGAGACCCCCCACACUGGUACUGAGACACGGACCAGACUCCUACGGGAGGCAGCAGUGAGGAAUAUUGGACAAUGGAGGCAACUCUGAUCCAGCCAUGCCGCGUGCAGGAAGACUGCCCUAUGGGUUGUAAACUGCUUUUAUACAGGAAGAAAUAUACCUACGUGUAGGUAUUUGACGGUACUGUACGAAUAAGGAUCGGCUAACUCCGUGCCAGCAGCCGCGGUAAUACGGAGGAUCCGAGCGUUAUCCGGAAUCAUUGGGUUUAAAGGGUCCGUAGGCGGUCUUUUAAGUCAGAGGUGAAAUCCUACAGCUCAACUGUAGAAUUGCCUUUGAUACUGAAAGACUUGAGUUAUUGUGAAGUAGUUAGAAUGUGUGGUGUAGCGGUGAAAUGCAUAGAGAUCACACAGAAUACCGAUUGCGAAGGCAGAUUACUAACAAUAUACUGACGCUGAGGGACGAAAGCGUGGGUAGCGAACAGGAUUAGAUACCCUGGUAGUCCACGCCGUAAACGAUGGAUACUACUUUCGACCAACAUUGGUUGGUUGAGUGGCUAAGCGAAAGUGAUAAGUAUCCCACCUGGGGAGUACGGUCGCAAGACUGAAACUCAAAGGAAUUGACGGGGGCCCGCACAAGCGGUGGAGCAUGUGGUUUAAUUCGAUGAUACGCGAGGAACCUUACCAGGGCUUAAAUGUAAGUUGCAUGAUUUAGAGAUAGAUCUUUCUUCGGACUACUUACAAGGUGCUGCAUGGUUGUCGUCAGCUCGUGCCGUGAGGUGUCAGGUUAAGUCCUAUAACGAGCGCAACCCCUGUCGUUAGUUGCCAGCAAGUUAAGUUGGGCACUCUAGCGAGACUGCCAGUGCAAACUGUGAGGAAGGUGGGGAUGACGUCAAAUCAUCACGGCCCUUACGUCCUGGGCUACACACGUGCUACAAUGGUCGGUACAGAGAGCAGCCACUACGCGAGUAGGAGCGAAUCUAUAAAACCGAUCUCAGUUCGGAUCGCAGUCUGCAACUCGACUGCGUGAAGCUGGAAUCGCUAGUAAUCGGAUAUCAGCCAUGAUCCGGUGAAUACGUUCCCGGGCCUUGUACACACCGCCCGUCAAGCCAUGGAAGCUGGGAGUACCUGAAGUCGGUUACCGCAAGGAGCUGCCUAGGGUAAAACUGGUAACUGGGGCUAAGUCGUAACAAGGUA